rnacentral:rRNA from 1 species
UACGGAGGGUGCAAGCGUUAUCCGGAUUCACUGGGUUUAAAGGGUGCGUAGGUGGGUCUGUAAGUCAGUGGUGAAAUCUCCAAGCUUAACUUGGAACUGCCGUUGAUACUAUAGAUCUUGAAUGCUGUGGAGGUGAGCGGAAUAUGUCAAUGUAGCGGUGAAAUGACUUAGAUAUGACAUAGAACACCAAUUGCGAAGGCAGCUCACUACCCAGAUAUUGACACUGAGGCACGAAAGCGUGGGGAUCAAACAGG